GCAAUGCUUUGCUCGUGGAGGCUGCAAUAUCAAAAGAAUUAAGUAAUAAUCAAAAGCUAUAUUGAAGAUAAAAUAAAGAACAUCAAAGAAGCAUGUUUGAUUAAUCAGCCACUUCACAUGUGACUUGCUAAUUUUUUGACAUAGGACAGCUUGCAAAGGUGGUUACUUGGCUAACUUUUGAGUUUAAAAGAAAGCUAGAAUAGGUAUGUAAACAAUGAGAAUUUAUAUAGGCAGCAAAAUAGCAGAAGGAAAACAUAUUAUAGAGUGAGAUUUGCAGUGCAGUUAAGGCACUGUGAACAG
rnacentral:misc_RNA from 1 species